CCGGGAAGGGCUGCAGCCUACACAUGCAAGUCGAGCGGUAACAGAUCCAGCUUGCUGGAUGCUGACGAGCGGCGGACGGGUGAGUAAUGCAUAGGAAUUUACCCGAUAGUGGGGGAUAACCUGGGGAAACCCAGGCUAAUACCGCAUACGUCCUACGGGAGAAAGGGGGCCUUGGCUCCCGCUAUCGGAUGAGCCUAUGCCGGAUUAGCUGGUUGGUGAGGUAAUGGCUCACCAAGGCGACGAUCCGUAGCUGGUCUGAGAGGAUGAUCAGCCACAUCGGGACUGAGACACGGCCCGAACUCCUACGGGAGGCAGCAGUGGGGAAUAUUGGACAAUGGGCGCAAGCCUGAUCCAGCCAUGCCGCGUGUGUGAAGAAGGCCCUCGGGUUGUAAAGCACUUUCAGCGAGGAAGAACGCCUGGCGGUUAAUACCCGCCAGGAAAGACAUCACUCGCAGAAGAAGCACCGGCUAACUCCGUGCCAGCAGCCGCGGUAAUACGGAGGGUGCAAGCGUUAAUCGGAAUUACUGGGCGUAAAGCGCGCGUAGGUGGCUUGAUAAGCCGGUUGUGAAAGCCCCGGGCUCAACCUGGGAACGGCAUCCGGAACUGUCAGGCUAGAGUGCAGGAGAGGAAGGUAGAAUUCCCGGUGUAGCGGUGAAAUGCGUAGAGAUCGGGAGGAAUACCAGUGGCGAAGGCGGCCUUCUGGACUGACACUGACACUGAGGUGCGAAAGCGUGGGUAGCAAACAGGAUUAGAUACCCUGGUAGUCCACGCCGUAAACGAUGUCGACCAGCCGUUGGGUGCCUAGCGCACUUUGUGGCGAAGUUAACGCGAUAAGUCGACCGCCUGGGGAGUACGGCCGCAAGUUAAAACUCAAAUGAAUUGACGGGGGCCCGCACAAGCGGUGGAGCAUGUGGUUUAAUUCGAUGCAACGCGAAGAACCUUACCUACUCUUGACAUCCUGCGAACUUGGUGAGAGAUAACUUAGUGCCUUCGGGAACGCAGAGACAGUGCUGCAUGGCUGUCGUCAGCUCGUGUUGUGAAAUGUUGGGUUAAGUCCCGUAACGAGCGCAACCCUUGUCCUUAUUUGCCAGCACGUAAUGGUGGGAACCUCUAAGGAGACUGCGUGACAACUGAGAAGGUGGGACGACGUCAAGUCAUCAUGGCCCUACGAGUAGGCUAACACACGUGCUACAAUGCGGUACAAGGCUGCCACUCGGGAGGUGAGAAUCUAAGCGGUUCAG
rnacentral:rRNA from 1 species